CUGUGCCUCAAUAAUGGACAUAUCUAGUUGAAAAUCAGUUUGUGAAUCCUGGAUGGGUUGUAGAUUUUGAACUUCUUCAAAUUCAACAGACCUCUUACUACUCCUUUCUUGGAUAAACUCUUUCUCCAAAAAAUAGCAUGCCUACCAAUAAACACUUUUUGUUGAGUAGGGUGGUAGAAGUAGUAUUCUUUACUCUCCUUGGGAUAACCCAUAAAUCUAAAUUUUCUUGAUCUAGCACUCAGCUAUGUCCAUCAAUAUUUUUCACAUU
rnacentral:lncRNA from 1 species